AUUAAGCCAUGCGAGUCAAAUGUUCUUCGUGAACAUGGCGUACUGCUCAGUAACACGUGGAUAACCUGCCCUAAGGUCCGGCAUAACCCCGGGAAACUGGGGAUAAUUCCGGAUAAACCAUAGAUACUGGAAUGUUCUUUGGUUCAAAGCUCCGGUGCCUUAGGAUGGAUCUGCGGCCUAUCAGGUAGUAGUGGGUGUAAUGUACCUACUAGCCGACGACGGGUACGGGUUGUGAGAGCAAGAGCCCGGAGAUGGAUUCUGAGACAUGAAUCCAGGCCCUACGGGGCGCAGCAGGCGCGAAAACUUUACAAUGCGGGAAACCGCGAUAAGGGGACACCGAGUGCCAGCAUAUUAUGUUGGCUGUCCACAUGUAUAAAUCACAUGUGUUAGCAAGGGCCGGGCAAGACCGGUGCCAGCCGCCGCGGUAACACCGGCGGCCCGAGUGGUAGCCGCUAUUAUUGGGUCUAAAGGGUCCGUAGCCGGUUUGAUCAGUCUUCCGGGAAAUCUGACAGCUCAACUGUUAGGCUUCCGGGGGAUACUGUCAGACUUGGAACCGGGAGAGGUAAGAGGUACUACAGGGGUAGGAGUGAAAUCUUGUAAUCCUUGUGGGACACCA
rnacentral:rRNA from 1 species